UUUGUCAAACUGGAUCCUGUUACUCAGGUAUUGGCAUGUAGAAACGGUGCAGCUCAGCAGGAGACUUCGCUGUUGGACAGCAAUGUCGGCUUCUCGGAGUUCGGUGUGGAUGGCUCCACGCGGUGCACCUUGCGGAAGGCAGCUGAUACCUAGGGUGUGUCUUCAAACCAAACAUGUCAACUGGGACCACAAUGCUGACUCCAACCCUCAUCCUCUGGUAGAAUAAGAGUUGCCAAACAUAUUCUGUGGAAGGCCUCUGAGGUUCCAGCAUGUCUAGAGGAUGAGCACACUCAAGUAGAACAACCCAUCAAGCAUUUUCCUUUAAGAGAGGAUGACAAGAAAGAAAACACGCAUUUCCUGGCUUCCCCAGCCCAUUUCAAAUAACAUCAGAAAUGAUGACCAUCGCUUGACCAUCUUUUGGCCAGAUUUCAGUCAAGACCUUGCCAAAGCAGAAGAGCCAUGCUCCCCCAAACUUGGAGCCCUUCAGUCGUGGGAAUGUCUCCUUCCACUGUUCCUAGGGUUGCUACCUCCUCAGAGAGACCUGCUGAAUCUGCAUUAGACAUCCUACCUCUGCUAAGAUUAAAUGUAUUAAUCCAUCCACCUGAAGACCCAGACCAGUCACCUGGCAUACAAGUUUCCCUGGAAACUUCCAAAAGGCAGCUGCUGUGGUAUCACAUCAUCCCUCUUCCCUCCGCAAAUGUGUAAAUAAAGCAACAUCUCUAUGUGUUUAAUUUA